rnacentral:rRNA from 1 species
AGUGAACGCUGGCGGUAGGCCUAACACAUGCAAGUCGAACGGCAGCACAGUAAGAGCUUGCUCUUACGGGUGGCGAGUGGCGGACGGGUGAGGAAUACAUCGGAAUCUACUUUUUCGUGGGGGAUAACGUAGGGAAACUUACGCUAAUACCGCAUACGACCUAUGGGUGAAAGCAGGGGAUCUUCGGACCUUGCGCGAUUGAAUGAGCCGAUGUCGGAUUAGCUAGUUGGCGGGGUAAAGGCCCACCAAGGCGACGAUCCGUAGCUGGUCUGAGAGGAUGAGCAGCCACACUGGAACUGAGACACGGUCCAGACUCCUACGGGAGGCAGCAGUGGGGAAUAUUGGACAAAGGGCGCAAGCCUGAUCCAGCCAUACCGCGUGGGUGAAGAAGGCCUUCGGGUUGUAAAGCCCUUUUGUUGGGAAAGAAAAGCAGCAGGUUAAUACCCCGCUGUUCUGACGGUACCCAAAGAAUAAGCACCGGCUAACUUCGUG